AAGACCUUGCGCUUUUGGAGCGGCCGAUGCCUGAUUAGCUUGUUGGUAAGGUAAAAGCUUACCAAGGCUUCGAUCAGUAGCUGGUCUGAGAGGACGGCCAGCCACACUGGGACUGAGACACGGCCCAGACUCCUACGGGAGGCAGCAGUGGGGAAUUUUGGACAAUGGGCGCAAGCCUGAUCCAGCCAUGCCGCGUGAGUGAAGAAGGCCUUCGGGUUGUAAAGCUCUUUCAGCCGGGAAGAAAAGGUUGCGACUAAUAAUCGCAAUCCAUGACGGUACCGAAAGAAGAAGCACCGGCUAACUACGUGCCAGCAGCCGCGGUAAUACGUAGGGUGCGAGCGUUAAUCGGAAUUACUGGGCGUAAAGCGUGCGCAGGUGGUUUUGUAAGUCAGAUGUGAAAGCCCCGGGCUCAACCUGGGAACU
rnacentral:rRNA from 1 species